ensembl:lncRNA
UUUAACAUUUUAAUAUUUAAUGUAAAAUAAUAUUUAAAUAAGGGAGUCAAAGUUACCUCAUGUUGCUUAAACCUCCCAAUGAACAGAGGGAACUUGGCAACAGUAGCAGAGGCCUUUGGCCAAGGAGUUUGUUAGCUAUGAAUGAGCUGACUGGGUAACUAAGGAGCCAGCUUCUUAAACGGUUGAAUAAUAAAGCGUCAACCUCAGAGUGCUUUUGCUAAUGCAUUACAUCAGCUAGCUGUGAUGAAACUACCAAUAUGGCAGCAAUGGGUACGUUGGGUCAUCCAGAAGUCUUAUAGUUGAAUAUACACAAGGACUGUAAACACUGAAGAAGUAGUACACUGUUCAUUUACACUUCUACUCACAAGAAACCAACAUGGAACCCAUGAAAUCUGAUGUCCUCGUGGACGUGAGAUGUUGUAAUAUUGAUCCACGUUGAAGGCCUUGCUGAAGCGCCACGUUCUUUCAACUCACUGUGGGGUUGUGUUCCACUGUUGAGAGCUCACACUCCCUCCAGUUCUUGAAGUUGCCUUAGUAAACUGUGCAUGAAAUCUUGGCUUUGUGAAGAAUCUAUAUUUGAUCUAGUGUAGCCAAUAAGGCAUUCGCUUUGUGUGUGUAAUUCUUAGUCUCCUAUUUGCACAAACCAAAAGUGUCCUCUGCUUCCUUCCCUUUGUGUCUUAUGUGGUUUCACGACAUACCAAAACCCCUUAACCCUAGAACCAGUCAACUGGGAAAGUAUGUCUAACAAUCCAUCACUUUCUGGUAGCAAAUCUCUCUCCGUAGUACUCACCAUUACCCCUUACCUCUUGCACAGCUCUGUUGCCACGGACCAUCUUUGGGCUGUGUGUCUAUAAUUGGCAGUGUAGAUAAGUACAGACAGACAGACGAUACUAGAAAGUCUACUUAACUGCAGAAGUAAAACGUUCAAAUCAUCCUUCUACAAUGUCCUUCGUAGUUCCCUUACGACUGAAGCCAGAGGUUGUGCAUAAUGUAUGCCAUGGAAGAUGAACCGCCCUCCCCACACAAAAGUGAUGGGGGCUCUCGGCAAAGUUGCACUCUGCCUUUACCACCUCCCCAUCCGCAUUACCUGGGUGGACAUCCCAAGUCAGUCGGAGGCCAAAUUACUUGCAUUUUAUCUUGACGCAGAAGGUUUGAUUGUUGGAACUGUUUUAACACUCGGUUAAUGUAGCAAAACAAUAAGAUGUCGGUAUAGGAAACAACAAAUAUUUUAACUACCUGCCACUUUGUAGUUAAGACAACGCAAAUACUUCAGCUUGUAAAACUGUUGCAGUUAGGAUUAUAAGACAAAACUACUUGGCUAGGGUUAGAGACGUCUGUUACAUAUCUUAAAUAUUGUUAGUACUUACUAUUGUUAGUAAAAAUAACUGAACAUUCUCUUUCACAAAACAACACCACCUAAGGUCCCCUGAGUGAAAGUCCUGUGUUUAUUUGACCCGUGCGCUACCCAUCCCUCGCAGCCUUAGCUGAGAAUUCCUCCCUAAUGCUAAGGGGUCGGUCCGAACAUCUAUUAGGUUUACCGCGGCGGGGGGCUAAACGCCUGCCGCAUCUCAUGCAGAUGCUAAAGGGUGGCUUCAUGGUACCAAGAAUGCCAAGCCAACUGACCAAGCGGCGGUAUUUGACUCUUUGGAAGUGAGACCAGGCAGGCAAAGCGACCAGAGGCGUCGGUUCGAGUUUGAGUGUGUUACGUUACCCGUGCUUUCACCUGGAGCACUACAGAAUGGUGUUUGUGCAGGUCAGGGGAGGACAAUGUUCUUCUACGAUUAAAGGGGCGCGAUAGCAGAAAGAUUGUUCUACCUCUGAAGGUGACUAAAGUCAGAAUCAUGUUGUGUGCAAGGGAAGGUGAAGGCAACAGGGAGAGAAAUUUAGGAGAAAACACGCCGAGACCUCAGAGGGAUCUCUAGCUGUGGAUGUUACACUUCCAACCUCCUCCUUCCUUCAGUGGCAGAAGUAUUACUCUUUGUUUAGUCGUGGUAAAUGACGCUAUUUUAAGUACUGUAAUGAAACAUAAAUAACAUAUAUAUGUAUUUUAACAGAUGUUUUCAUCUUUCGCAGUGAGUUUUUUGCCGUUAAAAAGAUAGAACACUAUUUAAGAUUAAAUAAAGAAGAUGUUUAAAUGUUUUAUAAAAGAUACAAUUUAGAUUUUGUAUAAGAUGUGAUAUUUUGCGUGAUUUGUCUACACUGUUACAAAAUGAGAAAUUUUAUGUAAUGUGACAGCUAUCGGGCAUAUAAUUGAUGGAACAAUGGAUUUGCAAAUGAAUAAAUAAACUAUUGAAAUUAUGGCACACAAAA